rnacentral:lncRNA from 1 species
GCAAGAGCUGGCUGGAGGGAAUGGGUUCAUGGCUCCAUGGUAGUCAUCUUUAAGAGAGCAAAAGUCACUUAAUGCGCAGAACGAGAGUGCCACAGAGACUCUGUGUUUAGAAAAAAACUCAGAGUCAUUACAUGAUGUAUAAAGCAGCUGUGGGAUGGGGGGGUGAUUGCCAGGAAGUUUUUUUGGAAGCUUUUUAGUUUUUCCCCAGGAGAGAGCUGUUCUACCUCCACCCAAGAGUAAAGACUGAUGAAGCAAAACACAACAAAACAAACAAUAAGAAGAAAAAAAGUUGGGAAAUAAAUGUAUAACGGUUGUUGCUUGCUUGCUUUCCUACUGUUUUCAGUUAGACUGACUAACAUAAUUACAUAAUUGAGACAUACAUGGUUCCUUAAAAUUAUCAAAGAUAUGAGUAAAAUGUUGUGAAUGUGUGUAAAUCAUAAUGAAACCCAUUUGAACUAUUGUCUAUAAGUCCAGAAGUGUGUAAAUUAAAAUAAAGAACAGGGGAGUAUUAUUAAAGACAUAACCAACUCCUUACAGGAACCAGUCAACGCAGAAACACUGAAAAAGUUAUCCACCUCAGUUGUCAAGGGCAACCUGCACGUGAGACGUCUGACAAGCUGCGUAAAUUGCUGCAUUCAGCCUUCUAUUUGGGAAAAUUUCCCCCGACAGAUAACUUUGUCAACUUCCAUUUCAUCCAAUAAAGAGUCUCAAAUAUCCUGCCUUGAUCCCUCGGUAAUCCCAAAACCGACUUCUUCUAGGAGCUUUAGUCACCAAUCAAACUAUUCUGAACUUGGCAGUCUACUAUGAACGAAAUCUCUCCAAUACUCCUAUAAUACUCCUACAUAUGACAGUUUCAGAAAAUUUAGUUCAAUUUUAUUUAUACAGCACCAAAUCCCAACAACGGUCGCCUCAAGGUGCUUUAUCUUGUAAGGUAGACCCCACAAUAAUACAUAGAGAGAAAAACCC